rnacentral:rRNA from 1 species
CUGACAUGCGUGCGAGUCGACGGGUUCUGAAACCUGGGAUGCGCAAGGAAGCUGACGAGCGGGAGGCCCUCACGGGCCGCACCGCUGGCCGACCCUGAUCUUCUGUGAAGGGUUCGAGUUGGAGCACGCCUGUCGGGACCCGAAAGAUGGUGAACUAUGCCUGAGCGGGGCGAAGCCAGAGGAAACUCUGGUGGAGGCUCGAAGCGAUACUGACGUGCAAAUCGUUUGUCUGACUUGGGUAUAGGGGCGAAAGACUAAUCGAACCAUCUAGUAGCUGG